rnacentral:rRNA from 1 species
GACGAACGCUGGCGGCGUGCCUAACACAUGCAAGUCGAACGGAAAGGCCCUGAUUUUGUGGGGUGCUUGAGUGCCGAACGGGUGAGUAACACGUGAGUAACCCGCACUUGACUUUCGGAUAUCUUCAGGAAACUGGGGCUCUUACCGGGUAGGAGCUUCUGCUGCAUGGUGGGGGAUGGAAAGUUCCGGCGGUUGUGGAUGGUUUCGCGGCUUAUGAGCUUCGUGGUGUGGUAGUUGAUUACAAAGGUUUCGAAGGCUAGCCGGCCUGAGAGGGUGACCGGCCACAUGGGGACUGAGGGACGGCCCAGAAUCCUACGGUAGGCAACAGUGGGAAAUAUUACGCAAUAGGCCGACGCCAGAUACAGCAACGCCGCGGGCGGGAAGACGGCUUUAGGGUGGUAAACCGCUUUCGCCGGAGACGAGCCGUGAGUGACGGUAAUGAGUAAAGAAGCAACGGCUAACUACGUG